rnacentral:rRNA from 1 species
GACGAACGCUGGCGGCGUGCCUAAUACAUGCAAGUAGAACGCACAGUUUAUACCGUAGCUUGCUACGCCAUAGACUGUGAGUUGCGAACGGGUGAGUAACGCGUAGGUAACCUGCCUGGUAGCGGGGGAUAACUAUUGGAAACGAUAGCUAAUACCGCAUAAUAUUGAUUAUUGCAUGAUAAUUGAUUGAAAGAUGCUAUUGCAUCACUACCAGAUGGACCUGCGUUGUAUUAGCUAGUAGGUGAGGUAACGGCUCACCUAGGCGACGAUACAUAGCCGACCUGAGAGGGUGAUCGGCCACACUGGGACUGAGACACGGCCCAGACUCCUACGGGAGGCAGCAGUAGGGAAUCUUCGGCAAUGGACGAAAGUCUGACCGAGCAACGCCGCGGGAGUGAAGAAGGUUUUCGGAUCGUAAAGCUCUGUUGUAAGAGAAGAACGGGUGUGAGAGUGGAAAGUUCACACUGUGACGGUAGCUUACCAGAAAGGGACGGCUAACUACGUG